AUUUUUGCAAUAAUGCGUGGGGGUCUAAAUGCCGUGAAUCAAGAGUCGUGCUAAGGAAAAACGCCGUAUCAACAUUCGAUAAUUGCCAAAUUCACCCAGAUUAAUAAUGUAUUUUUUAGGAAAGUUACUCAUAUUUUUCCUUGAAAUUUUCAGGUAUUUUAUUUCAAAUUGCUAAAAAAAUCGCAUGAAAAAUUUGAAGCAAAAUAUAAAAAAAAGUUCCAGAAAAAUUGGUGUUUAUUGAGGAAAUAUGGCAACGCCUGAAGGCUCAUACGGAGUUUUUUCUUCGCACGGUAGCGUGGGUGAGCGCAUUAUACUGUGGGUGAUUAUUCUGUGGGGCGAGUGGUCCCGGAAUCGUUUUAUUAAGUGUUUACAUCACCUUUUAACUGCUGUUACCUUCACUUUAUACUUGGACGUAUUUCUACCAAACAGACCUAUGUGGAGGUGAGUAAUAUGGGGUAUGCUCGUCGCAGCUGCUUAAGAAGCAAUGUAAAAGUGGGCGUGAUUCCUUUUGAAGAAUUGGAAAAGCUGGAUUUUACAUUCUAUCAAACAGACCUAUGUGCCAACUGAAUGCGGGAUUCAUGAGCCGCGGGCAUGGCAAGAGAGCGUUGUGAACAGGGCUCAUGAGUUAAAGCGCCCCGACGACGAUCUCUCCCCAAAGUUUCCCCCUCGCGGUCCGGCUUCUGCAUUACCGCUGACGUCACUGGCGGUUUAUUAUUCUCAUUUACUCUUACGCAAAGAGAACUAACGAGCACACCCCAUAUUUUUCACUUCCACAUAGGUCUGUUUGGUAGAAAUACGUCCACUUGAUACUUACAUUACUAAAUUUUUACUCUGCUACAGAAUCAUUCAUCGAAUCCAUCCAGGGCAUAAUGGCAAUUCCUGCAGUAUUCCCUACAGUUAUGUAUUUAUUUACCCUGCUUCAUAGUCCCACUACCUGGUCUAUAUGUCUUCAAGCGAAUGGCGAUCCGCAAAACACAGAUUUAAUGUUAAUGGUCUUGCGCGAGUAUGAUGAAACCAGCGAGUCAUGGAUUACAAGAGAUUCGGUACCAGUCAAAACAUGCACCCAAUUAGAAAUAAAAGAUAUUGACGGGGCUGUCUUCGUUUUUCUGUUGACAAAAGAUUUCAAUGAGGAGCCACAAAUGAACAUGUAUUCAAUUCUUGACUCAAGAUUGUUUUGAGCCAGACCUCCAGUGUGGGAAAAAUUCAUUUUCUUACAGUUUGGUAAGAUACAUUUACAAAAAACCUGAACAAAAGUUCUUUGCAUGGGUAAAAAUAAGCAUUGGCGGUUCUACGGGGGUGCCAGUGGGUGCCAGUCACCCCCA
rnacentral:lncRNA from 1 species